AUUUUGAUCAAGCCCAUGAAAAUGCAGCAAAAUCGAAUUUGGCUUCCAUAUCUAUCUCACUGCCCAUCAAGAGAGAAACAACGAAAGCCAUUGUUGAAGCACAAGAGGGAUGCAAUUCCUACUCCAAACGGGUAUGGAUUCGACCUUAAAAUCAUCCUCUUCGUCGGCAUCGAUUACACCAUCACUGCUUUCAAUUCUCACAAAGAGAAAUUGCUACAGAAAAAGGAAGAGAACAGGAUGCACUUACUGGGAUCAAUGGCUGAUCUGGGAAGGUUCACCAGUAUGAUAAGAAGAAAUAAAAAACCAAGGUUGAAGAGAAAGUUUAUUCGGACACUGAGCCAUUCCAUUGUGGCAGAGUUGUAAAAUGCAACACGAGAGUAGCAAUCAAUGAGGCUCAGAUUCUUCUUCAACAAUCUGUCUUCCUGAUUGAAGCAGCGAAUUGUUACUACCCCACUGAUUGAUUCUGAGAAGUGAUGUUGAACUGGAGCUUUCUGAGUGCCAACCAUCCUAGCAAGUUCUCUAGCAGUGGUUCUUGUAAUCUUGGAGGAGAUUGUUUUUACCUGAUACCAUAUGGAGAUGGCAAUUAUGAUGAGGAAGAUGAAAAAGACUGGCCAGGCAGCCUGGGACAUAAGAACUAUGAUACUUAGUAAUUGAAUAAGUGCAAAUACUAGCCCUGCCAAUCUAUAUGGAAUAUCUGUAUCCACCGUGCUUUGAUCUGUGGAGGACUGAAAGGGAAGAAGAGAUAAGUUAGAAUUUGAUCUGAACUUCUGAUAUUAAAAGAAAUACACUAAAAGAGAUUUUCUGUAUUUGUGUAUGUACUAACACGAUUGAGAAUUCUGCUUGAAGGUGUGGAGUCAAAGAAUGACAAAGGUGCUCGAAAGACUGAUUUGGCCAUCUGAACAAAGAGCUGCUGAGCAGUCUCAAUUGCAAUGGUCGAAAGCAAAACUGCCCUUCCCAAGAUAAAGAUGGAGCUUCCCCCAGAUAACAAGACAAAUAUCCUGAGCAAUUUCGCUCUGGACAUCCUGCCUUCUGUCUCUGUUCCCCAUGUAAUCCAGUAAUUGCUUGCAAUUUGCAGCCCUUGGAAGAGGAUGUGGCACAGAAGGACAGGGGCAACAAGAUAUCCUUUAUAUGCAGCAGUGAGAAAUAUGGAGUAUACUUUCCAUUUAACUCUUCCAGUUUCUGUCUCUUCCUGAUUUCUCUCAAACAGCUGAUCACUGCCGAGUUGCAGGUGAGUGUAAUCUUAGCAUACCAAGAUCAGGUCUGAAGCAUCUAAAAAUUCCAACUGAUGGGUGGCAUAAAUAACAGUUUUGCUGCAUAAGCUCUCCAUGAGACAUUUCUGCAAAGUGAUUUCCAGAUUGAAUGUGUUAUCAAAUCAUUAAGAAAACUGAGUGAUGUAUAAACAGAUUUUACUUGCCUUGAAGAUAUGAGCGCCGGUUUUUGCAUCAACAGCACUGAAAGGAUCGUCUAGUAAAUAGAUGUCUGAGUCACUGUACAUUGCCCUUGCCAGCUGAACUCUUUGCUUCUGUCCCCCACUUAAGUUUAUUCCUCUUUCUCCCACUAGAUUUGUGCAACUAGUGCUUUGGAGCCAUAUGAUUUGAUACUUGAUCCAGAAACCUUUGGAAUCUCUCCCAUGAUGCUGCACAGUAAGCUUGAUUUGCCAGAACCAACCGAACCACAUAUUGCGACCUUGCUUCCUUUUUUGAUUGUUAUUUUAUGAUUUAUCUUAAUUGUUGAUUUCUUGGAAUCAUCAUACUCCCAAGCAUAUUCUCCAGGCUCAAUUUCAAGUGCGACUUCAGAUGUGUCAGAAGCGUGAUAGCUGGUUAGCUUCUGUUGGUCUUCCUCUCCAAUGAACUCUUGCAUCCGUCUAACUGAAACCUUUGUUUGCACCACUGUGGAGAUGAGCUCUGGGAGAUUAUAUAUGGGCUCUUGUAAAAUCCGGAAAGUUGCUAGAGCUGAAAGAACCGUGCCCGCUGUUAAUGGCGUGUUUGUCACAACACAAACGCCAAAGGUCACGACUGAAACUAAAGUCGGGGAAGCCCAAAAGAGGAAAGCCACAGCGGAACAUGUAUAAAGAUUUCAGAUGUGGCCUUAAUCCUCGAGUCCUUGGCUUCCAUGAUCUUCGUCUGAAGCUUCUUCUGCAUACUGGCAAACGGGAUAUUGCUCAACAUCACAACGAUCGUCGCAACAAAAGCAGCCGCGGAAGGAGCAGCACCCAAGUUCAUGUACAAGAUGAGCAAUGCAAAAAUGACCUGAAAGGGAAGUAACCAAAUCCAAUGGAUGAACAUGAAGAAGUCCCCAAUCCUCUCCACAUCAACAUUGAGGAAAUUAAUGACUUUCCCUGUGCUCACACUGCCAUGCUUAACUGUCAAAGACUUCUUGUAGGUCAAAGCCAUGAGAGCUGCUCUCACUCUAAUCCCAAUGCGGUGAGCCCCAAAAUACCAUUGCCUUUGGGCAAGGGAUUCCACCAUCUUUGCAAUGAAGAAGAUGAAUGAGAGAAGCAAUCCCUUUUGCCAGUUUGAAUUGUCAUGCUUUUCUGACAAGAACUUCACAAAGCUUGUGAUUAGCAAAGGGCCGAUAUAGGAAGCUAUCGUGUUGGUUCCUAUACAAACGAACAGAAAUUUAUGUUAGUACUGUUUAUGCUAAACAUAAAAACCCCUCCAUGUUUAACGUCC